GAAAAUCUAGAGGAUAAAACUCCCUAUUUCUGUUCUGGAGUGCAUUGAUUUUCAGUACUCAAGGUUUACAGAAUUCCUGCCCUCCUGCUGUAUCCAUCAUUCCCCUCCACGCCUCCUGCUUCAUACCACCCAGCCUAGAAAUAGAAGAGGAAAGACAACCUGUGUCUCAUUCAUCAUGGAAAAGACUUGUCACAGUGAUGGACUGUCUUAGGUCAUUUGUCCAAACAUCCUCAACCUACUGUCUGUCGCCAAAAGAAGCUAUCACACCAGUUGGCUCAGAAGUGGCUUAGGCUCACCCUGGACCAUCACUGUGGCUAAGAGAUUCAUAAAAUUUGUGCUGGAGUUUCAUCUUUCAAGGAGAAAAGCUGAAGUAAUUGGGGAGCAGUGCUUCUGAGAGUUUCCAUCAAAAGAGGAGGAAAAUGAUUUACACCAUUAAGGUCACUUUCAAUCCCUUUUUGUGUGAUGCUCCUGUUCCUGUCUUGGAACAGGUAGAUUUUCUCCUGCGUCCUGGAAGACCUAACUGGAGACAUUACAGCAGCCCUAGCUGGCCGGGUAAGUAGUUCUGGAAUUGUCUGAGGCUGUGACUGAAAGGGGAUGGAGAUUCUUGAAGGUGAAUUUCAGAGAAUGGGGAUAAAGUCCCCAAAUCUGCCUCCCCACAUGCAGAGUCUGUUUGGGACAUCUGUAGCCUGGACAAGGAAGAUGUUGGAGAAGUGGUGGUCUUAGAAUUCUCCCUAAUUUAUGUAAACCUGAAGUUAGACCCUGCUUUGGAAUGUUCGGUUUGUCUUUUGUGUGUGUGUGUGUGUGUGUGUGUGUGUGUGUGGUACCGGGGAUUGAACUUGGGACCUUGUGAUUGCAAGGCAGACGCUGGCACCACUGAGCUAACCCCUGACCUUCACUUUGUCUUGAGUAGACUCCAUAGUGCAUGGUGCUGCCAUCAAUCAGACAUUCCCCUGGGGAGUGUCCAAAACUCCCUUCUCUGAGGCAUCUUAGGCUUCAGCCUACCUCACCUGC
rnacentral:lncRNA from 1 species